UCUUAAUCUGUGUGAAUUUGGCAGGGCUGCAGUGUAAUUACUCUAACAGAGGGGAAAGAGGGACUGGCAAGAAUUAAAGAGAGAUCAGGACAGUUUAGAACAGUAAACAGACUAUAAGAACAGGAGGAACUGACAAAAGAGCACCUUAAAGUUUCAAAAUAGAAAUCCUUUACAAGAUUGUGCAAUUGGGCCCUUUCCACCUUCUGAGUCUUAAAUCUCUGACCUGUCUGUUACUUUUAUUUAAUGAGUCGGGAAGAACAGUGGUAUUUUCAUAAAUUGUUCCUUCUGGCCCCACCCCUACUGUUCUCCUCUGCUUAUAUAUAACUCAUCUUCUUCCCUCUUGGCAACUCCCCCUCCAUCCCAUCCCCAUGCUCCCACAUAUGUGUGCUCACACCUCUUUCAAUUCAUGUUUGUUGGUCAGUUGCAUGUACCCCACAUGGAGCCAAGAGGUGUGUGUCAGUGUCAGAAUGUGGGGUCUAGACACAUGUGGGGUGGGUAAAGAGGUGGAAUGAUUCCCUGCAGCAUCCUCAAUCUUCCCAAGGACACAGAUCAGUAUAAAUUCAAAACACAUAUGUAAAUCCCAAGCAUUGUUUCAAUUCACAUUAAAGGACUAUAUCAGUAUUUAUUAUUAUUAAUUUUUAAUCAAGAAGCAUUAUGAACUUUAAGAGUUUGAGAAUCACUGGUCAAUAGAGUCAAAAGUGCUCCCCUCUCAUUACCUACUAACUCCAAUCACCUGUCUUUGUUUCAGGGUAUUAAGGCCAGCUAGCAUCAAGGAGAUCCAACUAGAGAGAGAUGGAAGUGGGUCUUUGAAACCCUAGUGCAGAAUGACUGGUGGGAAGGGUUUGGGCCACAAAGCAAGGACAGUCUGAUUUCUAAAGUCCCUCCUAGUUAUUAGAGUCUUAAAAUCUAAGAUUUCUAGCAUUUAAUGGACAAAUGAGAAGUGAUAGGAGGUUUUAGCAAUUACCUACAUCUGUUUUGUGAUUAGGGGGUUGAGCUGUAGGACAAGGAGACAAGAGAACUUUGUGUAUAAGCUUUGGCUCCCUAUUGUGGCUAUGGAUGCUUCUGGACAAUGCUUAGCCGAAACCUGUGAAAGAAUGGAUUGUUCUCAAUGCUUGUGUCAGGAAAAGGUGUUAGGAACCUUUGCUCCAGAUUCUCUAGUAAGCUCUGAGUCACUGCUGGAAAUUAGAGGUGGGUGGGCCAAAUCCUGGCUUCCCAGGGUUUCAGUUCUUUGCAGCUGACCAAUCAGAUGACCUUUGACAUCUGGCUUGACCUCUGUUUCUCAUUCCUUUUUUUUUUCUGUUAAAUGAGUACGCUUAAAAGUAGUGGUAGUAGUAGAAAAAGUAGUAGAAAUGGAAGAAGCAGUAAAUAUUAUUCUCAUUUUACAAAUUAGAAGAAAGCUGAGACACAGAAAAGUUAAAUACCUUGCCCAAGGGUACCUGGGUAUUUGUGUACGUGACUGAGUCUGCAAACGCCUGAGUCUGUGUGACUUCAAAGAAGGACGAAGAAGCCAAUUCAGUGCGCGUUUCCAGGACCCAUUCAACAAAUAGCUGAGUUCUGCCAAGAUCGCUGCUGGCUCCCAUGAUUCCAAGCUCUCAGCUUGACUUGGCUCAGUGGACACUCAUUCCCCAUUACCUCACCUUGAAAGGAAAAGAAGGGGUGUUUAAAAUAGGAAGAGGGAUUACAAAAAGAAGAAGUUUUUUUUUUUUUUUCCCCCGGUGAGGGCAUCUAGGGGUAGUCAGUCAAGCCUCAGACUUUUUUCUAAAAAUCUCAUUUUCUCAGAA